rnacentral:tRNA from 1 species
GUGGAGCUCAGUGGUAGAGCCCUUGCCUGGCAUGCACAAGGCCCUGGGUUCAAUCUCCAGCACA